rnacentral:misc_RNA from 1 species
GAUGAAGAACGCAGCGAAAUGCGAUAAGUAGUGUGAAUUGCAGAAUUCAGUGAAUCAUCGAAUCUUUGAACGCACAUUGCGCCCUUUGGUAUUCCUUAGGGCAUGCCUGUUCGAGCGUCAUUUAAACCUUCAAGCUAAGCUUGGUGUUGGGUGACUGUCCGCUUCACGGCGGACUCGCCUCAAAAUUAUUGGCGGCCGGUACAUUGGCUUCGAGCGCAGCAGAAACGCGAACUCGGGCCCGUCGUAUUGGCUCCCAGAAGCUAUCUUCACAAUUUUGACCUCGGAUCAGGUAGGGAUACCCGCUGAACUUAAGCAUAUCAAUAAGCGAGGA